rnacentral:rRNA from 1 species
CGGCAGGCCUAACACAUGCAAGUCGAACGGUAACAGGAAGAAGCUUGCUUCUUUGCUGACGAGUGGCGGACGGGUGAGUAAUGUCUGGGAAACUGCCUGAUGGAGGGGGAUAACUACUGGAAACGGUAGCUAAUACCGCAUAACGUCGCAAGACCAAAGAGGGGGACCUUCGGGCCUCUUGCCAUCGGAUGUGCCCAGAUGGGAUUAGCUUGUUGGUGGGGUAACGGCUCACCAAGGCGACGAUCCCUAGCUGGUCUGAGAGGAUGACCAGCCACACUGGAACUGAGACACGGUCCAGACUCCUACGGGAGGCAGCAGUGGGGAAUAUUGCACAAUGGGCGCAAGCCUGAUGCAGCCAUGCCGCGUGUAUGAAGAAGGCCUUCGGGUUGUAAAGUACUUUCAGCGGGGAGGAAGGGAGUAAAGUUAAUACCUUUGCUCAUUGACGUUACCCGCAGAAGAAGCACCGGCUAACUCCGUGCCAGCAGCCGCGGUAAUACGGAGGGUGCAAGCGUUAAUCGGAAUUACUGGGCGUAAAGCGCACGCAGGCGGUUUGUUAAGUCAGAUGUGAAAUCCCCGGGCUCAACCUGGGAACUGCAUCUGAUACUGGCAAGCUUGAGUCUCGUAGAGGGGGGUAGAAUUCCAGGUGUAGCGGUGAAAUGCGUAGAGAUCUGGAGGAAUACCGGUGGCGAAGGCGGCCCCCUGGACGAAGACUGACGCUCAGGUGCGAAAGCGUGGGGAGCAAACAGGAUUAGAUACCCUGGUAGUCCACGCCGUAAACGAUGUCGACUUGGAGGUUGUGCCCUUGAGGCGUGGCUUCCGGAGCUAACGCGUUAAGUCGACCGCCUGGGGAGUACGGCCGCAAGGUUAAAACUCAAAUGAAUUGACGGGGGCCCGCACAAGCGGUGGAGCAUGUGGUUUAAUUCGAUGCAACGCGAAGAACCUUACCUGGUCUUGACAUCCACAGAACUUUCCAGAGAUGGAUUGGUGCCUUCGGGAACUGUGAGACAGGUGCUGCAUGGCUGUCGUCAGCUCGUGUUGUGAAAUGUUGGGUUAAGUCCCGCAACGAGCGCAACCCUUAUCCUUUGUUGCCAGCGGUCCGGCCGGGAACUCAAAGGAGACUGCCAGUGAUAAACUGGAGGAAGGUGGGGAUGACGCCAAGUCAUCAUGGCCCUUACGACCAGGGCUACACACGUGCUACAAUGGCGCAUACAAAGAGAAGCGACCUCGCGAGAGCAAGCGGACCUCAUAAAGUGCGUCGUAGUCCGGAUUGGAGUCUGCAACUCGACUCCAUGAAGUCGGAAUCGCUAGUAAUCGUGGAUCAGAAUGCCACGGUGAAUACGUUCCCGGGCCUUGUACACACCGCCCGUCACACCAUGGGAGUGGGUUGCAAAAGAAGUAGGUAGCUUAACCUUCGGGAGGGCGCUUACCACUUUGUGAUUCAUGACUGGGGUGAAGUAA